GGAGUUAGUAAACAUAAAGCCUUGAGAAGACACCGUGCCCAUAGUAUGCAUUGUGAAAAUGUGAGCUCACUCUUUCUCUUAUUUCUACCUAGAUAAAGUCCCCACUGAAGUUGUCUUGAAGAGUGAAAGUGACUUUUGCAAAGAUUACGUGAGCCGGACUUUGCCUGCUCUCUCCCGGAAUUCUGUUCCCUGCCCAACACAAUUCUAUGAUUGGCACAUGAUCAAGAGACCCAACAGAGGGACUUCUAUCAGGGAAGACCGAAGACAUUGGUUGGCACAUUUGCUACUUUUCCUGAAACCUUCUUUUCCCUGUGGUGUGCCAGAUUGGUGAGGAUGCGAAUCACUGUGCACUGCCUGACUUUUCCAAGCCAGGGUAAGGCUCUAAUGUGGGGGCUUUGGAUCUUGAGCAGAGCAAUCUGAGACGAAAAGGCAUAGCUGGAGUUCCUUCCUUCCAGCAUCAGCACUGUGGUGUGACUGUUACCAAUUCCUGGUGCACAGAGCUAGAGAGUAGCCCUGGUUUCUACCUUGUUUCUGACCUGAUCUUCAUUCCAGGAUUUCUGUCAGUCCUAUUAACCAUCGAAAUCCUGCCAGUAAAUUGCUCUUUUGCUUAAAUUAUUGAGAAUUGGCCUCUAUUGCCUGCAACCAAAAUCUGUCAUUCUUACACUUCUCAACAGAGUAAACUGCUAUGCAUCCUCCAGCUGCAAGGGAUUGAACGCUAUCAACAACCAUAUGAAUGGAGAAGCGGUUGCUUCCCUAGCUGAGCCUCAGGUAAGAACCCAGACCUGGCCAACACCUUAAUGGCAGCUUUGUGAAACCCUAA
rnacentral:lncRNA from 1 species